GUGCUCGGAGCGACACACCUCCGUCAGGGUGUCCACGGUAAAGCACUGCGUGCAUGUGCGGCACUUGCGAGUCAUUAUGUGGCGCACCACGUUUCCUUUGGAGCGCGUGUGUAGCCAUUCGAUGAAGGCUUCGUCGAAGUGACACUCACCCACCGCUUGCAAGAAUGGCACCCGUUUUCCUCCUCCACCUGCAGGACGCCCUGACCACCCUGAGUCUGCCCAACUUGUCAGCCAGACACCGAAAGACCAUGGAGAAGUUUGUUAAGUGGCUGCUACCCCACCGACGCCAAAGUCACAUGCUGCCGCCCGACGCGCCUUGCCCGGUCCGUGCCACAGUAAUCCAGAACCAGAAGACGCACCUGAAGGCGCCGUACAAAGAGGCGUACCGCCUCAGCACGAUUCCCACCAUGGUGCGAGCUUCUAACGUUUACUUCCUCUAUCUAGAUUAACCUUACGUUUAGGUUUAAGCCUCCACAAAGCCACUGCAUAUGUUGAGUGUAACGACUGCCAUAUCAAUAAACCGUUUAUCAUUAUAA